GAUAUGGCUCAGGAUGAACGCUAGCUACAGGCUUAACACAUGCAAGUCGAGGGGCAGCAUGGUCUUAGCUUGCUAAGGCCGAUGGCGGCCGGCGCACGGGUGAGUAACACGUAUCCAACCUGCCGUCUACUCUUGGACAGCCUUCUGAAAGGAAGAUUAAUACAAGAUGGCAUCAUGAGUUCACAUGUUCACAUGAUUAAAGGUAUUCCGGUAGACGAUGGGG
rnacentral:rRNA from 1 species